GACGUUCGCCCAAACGGUGGAAUCAAGAAAUUUAGAUCUGCUGCAUUACUCCAACGUAAGUUUCUGGUAGCUGGUAUCCUAGUGCAUUUGCUAAUACUUUCGUAUGAUUGGAUUUCCUUAUAGAAUAGUAAUUUAAUAUUUAGUCUUUAACAGCAUGAUUUUAUCUUGUUCUUCCAUGUGCAGUGCGCUCCAAACCAUCCUGAUAUUCGUCAAGUUAGU
rnacentral:lncRNA from 1 species